rnacentral:lncRNA from 1 species
UGCUUUGUAAAUUUAUUAUAUAUAAUUUAUAAUAUUUUAACAUAUGCAAACUCUCUCUCUCUCUCGGGAAAUAAGAAUGGCAACUUCACAUUCUCUUUCUUUUCUCCUCUUCUUUCACUUGGUCUUUUCUCUUGGUUUUACUUCCUUUGCGUCAACUCAAUACUCUCGAUCAUCCAUUGCUUCUGACCAGAUCAAGUUCUGGUCUGAAAAUGUGCACAACAAAAUGCCCGAUUCUGUCUUCAAAAAACUAUCCCCAUUAACAAAAAGGGAUUGUGAUUAUUACAAAAAGCUGAUAACCAAAAUAGAUUUCUCAGAAAAUCCUAGUUUUUGCUCACUUGCUAAACUCUCUUGUUCAUCCGGAUUACACGAUGGUGGGGGGCAAAGAGCUACCAAUACGUACAGUAAUAAUGGUGCAUUACCUGUCAACUCCAAUACGGCAGACAAAUUUUCUUACUUCAGAAUCUCAACCCUUACAGAAGGAAAUAAAUUCCAUCUCUCAGAUUUAGAAGAAAAAAUUCCAAAUCGAGCAUUUCUCCCUCAAGAAAUAGCAUCAAAAAUUUCUAUCAGCAGAAAAAGAAUUAGAAAACUAUUUCCCAAGUCCUUUGAACUGUCAAAACAUUCUAUGGAAACGACACUUUCUUAUUGCAAUGCAGAAGCUAUAAAGGGAGAAAUCAAGAAUUGCCCAAAAUCCCUUGAAGAAAUGAUUAGCUUCUCGAAGUUCGCCUAAGGCAAAAAGGAGUUACUCGUACUGGCUUCAGAACGCACAAGAAGAAGUGAAUUCCUGAUAAGAAAGAUCAAGAAAUUUGAUAGGCAGAAUGUAGUGGCCUGCCAUGAAGUUUAUCUUCCCUUUGCAGCCUAUUUAUGCCAUUCAACCUCUUCAACUCAAAUCUAUGCUGUAGACUUGAUUGAACCCGAGACUCGACUCCCAGUUAGCACUGUGAUUGCGAUAUGUCAUAUGGAUACCUCAGCUUGGCCUGCAAAUCACGUGGCAUUUAAAAUUCUGAAAUUCUCCCCUGGAGAAGGCGAGGCAUGUCACUGGAUGUCGAACAUUGAUCUUGCAUGGAUUGCGGUUGACUAGACGGUAUGAAAUUGGAAGGUGUGUACUUGAUCUACAGCGAUGAAGUAGACGUAAUUCUUGAGCAGUUGAGGAAACUCGGUCAACGUGGCUUGUAAAUUAAGAUUGUAUAGAAGCUUGAAUUCAGUAGGUUUGUGCAACAAAGUCAUCUUUCUUAUCAUCAGAUCCUAUAUUAAAUUGAUGGGCAGAGGUGAUCUAUAAGUGUACCUUUUUCAUUGCUAUUCUGAAAUGUUGAGGAAAUCUUGGUUCAAAUCCUAUAGGAUUGAAGUAUGUUCUCAAAUAUAAUUAUAUAUUUACCUUCAAAUAUUGAGAUGAAGAUGUUCCACCGUAGUCUGUGAAUUACAUUUAUCUCGGCAAUUAAAAGUAAUCUUUAGAAGUGAUUAAUAUGUGUUUCAUACUUGGCCUCUGUUUGGCUUAGAUUUUAAUUAGAUUUAAUUCCAAAUCAAAGUCAAAUAAUCAAUAUUAACUACAUCUUUCAUGGAUCCCACAACUUUUUAAUCACACAUUUCAAAAACUUCCAUCAAAAUCUACUAAAAAUCUAAUUUUAAUCCCCACCGAAUACCCUCUUGAUCAUAUUAGUUUAUUGAUUAUUUUAGGAGAAAAACGAUAUUGGACGAGGAUGGAUGAAAAGAAAUGAUAAUUUUUUAAAAAUGAAAAAGUUCGACAUAUGUAAGAAGUUGGGGACCAAGGAAUCAAGUUUGAAAGUUGAAAGGCUUCAAUUGCAAUAUAUGAGGAUUCAAUCUGAGCAAAACGAGGAAACGUGAACAAAUUUAAACAAGUGAUAGUAUAAUUUUCAGCAAUUUGGAAUAUCCUUAAUUGACUUAAAUUACGAUUCUCUAUCAACUUGGGACUCUAUUUUAGACCUAAAUUGACGUCUAAAAUAUGAAUAUUUCAUUCAAAAUUAAGGGUGGCUAGAUAUACAAUCUUGAGGCAAAAUAAUUACACAUUCAGAUUCAUCGAACCCUCGAGAUUUGCAUCUCAAUUUGGAGUUUGAGGAUUGAAGAACACAACUAGCCGAGAGAUAUAUCUACUUUGAAGAGAAAAUUGAUGAUACAAUAUUGGAAAUUGAGUGUCAAAGAACAACAAUUGUUAGGAUUCUUUUCUUUUUAUAUCGUAUCGGACUCCGUGAGUUUUUUAAUCCUUUAAUUUUUUUAUUCCACAAUUAUGAAUGGAUAAAUAAUUAGUUAUGAUGAAUGACGUAGCUUAGAUUUAAUAUUUAUUUAAUUCAAAAGAUUUCAUGUAACUUUGUCUUUAGCGUGGCACUUGCCUUUUCCCCAGCUGCCAUUAGGUUAUUAACUGUAUUCUAGAAUCUAGUAAGCUCGAUUUUAACAACAACUAACAUUUAGUUGCUCGAUCACAAAUUUAUUGGUUUAAGCACGAUACUGAGAACGAAAUGAAGUAUAUUUGUUUAAUUCGUGCAAUAUGUGACAUGUGUUUUUAUAAGAGAAUGAGAGGUAAUUAUAGCCUUUGCAAUCUUGAUUGAAUUCCUACAAAUUAAUGCCUUUACAUGUGUAUGAAUUUAUAUAGGGAUAUAUUAAAUUCGAGUAUGUGAAUAGGUCUAGUUUUACUCGAGAAAGACUAUUAGCUAAAAUUGGUUAAUUCCAUUAUUAAUACAUAUGAAAAAGGGGUUGAAUGAUGUUGGAUUGGACAAAUGUUAAUAGCCUAAGUGAAAUUGGUGUUCCUAACCACUUAAUCCUUAAAGUUCUCCACAAAUUAGUUUAGUUAGGUUAAAUUAGAAUAUUUUAGUAUAAAUUACUUAUAAAACAAAUACUUGAUUUGAAAAGUUUUUACAACACUAAUUUAGAUUGAAGCCAGAUUUAAGAUAAAAAUUGAUAGUAAGUAUUUAAUAUUUGUGAGUAUAAUACUUGUACUCAAAAUUCACUAUUAUUACUUGUAUUAGUUCAUACACUAGUGGAAUUACGCUAUCAGUCUGCAUUUGCUAUAACAAUGAGAACAAAAUUGAGUUGCUAUACGUAUUUCCUCUCCAUACUGAAUUACCAUAUGGCUAGUACCCUAAAGUUCCCUAAAAACCCACAGCCUUGAAAAAAAUACAUAACGAACAUAUGUAAAUAUGUGGACUCAAAGGUCAUAAGUUUUAGGCUUGUGUCGAACCUUGGCUAAAUGUAAGAGAGCUCCAUUGGUCUAACGGGCAGACCAAUUGUUGGGAAAACACCUCCCAAAGAUUGUCCAAGAUCAAACAAACUUACAAUGUGAAAAAAAAAUCCCAAACCACUUCAAAGAUAAGAAAUUGGGGAAGAAAUGAUUUUUCAAUAUAUAUGAAGAACAAUGGAUUGGAUUACUUGAACAAGCCUCAAGUUAAUCCCCAAGAAAGAAAAAUAGCUUUGAAUUUAUACCCAAGAAGAACAAUCUCUUACUUGUUAAAUUCUCUUCAAUCUUUUCUCUAUUUUUCUCUCUCAAAAUUGGAUGAUAAAUGAAGGGAAAAAUAGCAAUAUAUAUAGAACUAAAUCAGGCGCCAUGGCGCCUGCAUCACUGCUCCAUCCUUUCAAUUUGGGCGCCAUGGUGCCUGCCUCCCUGCACCUUUCUUUCUUACAAAUCUUCACCUCGUACAUCAUUUGAUAGACCUCAAAUUUUGGACGAAUACAAGAAGAAGUAGCAAGCGCCAAACUCGGCUGCACCAUUCAAACCAUGGUUGCCUACGUACCCAAAACUCGGGAUCAAGUCUCCGUAGUUCACCUCCACCUUCAUGUACUCUUCACCUCAUUUCAACCUCGCCCCAAAGAGCCAUUCCCACUCGGGCAUAUCAACACGGACUAAUGUGAAGCAAGUCCAAGCAAUACUGAAACUUGCUACCUGUUACCACUUUGGUUAACAUGUCUGCUGGGUUCUCAUUUGUGUGUACCUUCAAGAGAGAAAUAUCACGUUCCUCUAUGACAUCACGCACAAAAUGAUACCUGACGUCGAUAUGCUUGGUUCGAGCAUGAUGAACCUGAUUCUCAGCCAAGUGAGUCGCACUCUGGCUAUCACACCACAAGUCCACGUAAUCCUGCUCAAUCCCCAAAUCAUCUAGAAGACCCCACAACCACAAUGCUUCUUUCACUCCCUCUGCCAUGGUCAUAUACUCGGCCUCUGUAGUAGAAAGAGCCACUGUAGCCUGUAACAUCGAUCGCCAACUAACUGGGGCACCAUGUAUGCAAAACACAUAUCUAGUAGUAGAUCGUCGUCUAUCUAGAACACCUGCAUAAUCUGAGUCCACAAACCCACUUAUAUGACAUGCAUCUCCACCAAAACAUAAACCCGUAUUCGCGGUACCUUUUAAGUACCUCAGGAUCCACUUCACAGCUUCCCAGUGUGCCUUCCCCGGAUUCGCCAUGAAUCUAUUGACCACACUAACCGCCUGUGAAAUAUCUGAGCGUGUACACACCAUGGAAUACAUCAAACUGCCAACUGCACUAGCAUAAGGUAGACGAUCCAUGCGUACCUUUUCUUCCGCUGUAGUAGGAGAUUGUUUACCAGAGAGCCUGAUUUGUGGAGCCAAUGGAGUCACCACCGACUUUGCACCUUGCAACCCGAACCUAGCAAUAACCCGCUCAAUGUAGCCUUUCUGACUCAAGAACAUUCGCCGGUUCGUCCCCUCUCUUCUAAUCUCCAUACCCAGUAUUUUCCUAGUAGCUCCCAUAUCCUUCAUCUCAAACUUUUUAUCAAGUUGAGAUUUCAACCUAUCUAUCUCCACCUUGCUCUUCGAAGCGAUAAGCAUGUUAUCCACAUACAAAAGAAGAUAGAUAUAGUUACCUUCUCGAAGUUUUCUAAUAUAAACACAACAGUCAUAAUCACUUCUGGAGAAACCAUGCUUUAGCAUGAAGGAGUCAAAUCGCUUGUACCACUGCCAAGGAGAUUGCUUCAAUCCAUAUAGUGAUUUUCUCAAGCGACAUUCCUGAAGUUCCUUAUCCUCAACCUUAUAGCCCUCAGGUUGAUGCAUAUAUAUUUCCUCAUCCAAGUCCCCGUGCAAGAAGGCGGUUUUGACAUCAAGUUGUUCCAGCUCAAGAUCAUGAUGAGCAACAAUACUCAAUAGCACCCGAAUGGAAGUAUGCUCGACCACCGGAGAAAAGAUCUCAUUGUAGUCAACUCCCUCUCUUUGUGCAAAUCUCUUAGCCACUAACCUUGCUUUGAAUCUUGUACCACCGAGCUUGCUAAAAUCCUCUUUCUUUUUGUACAACCACUUGUAACCAAUAGCUUUCUUACCUAUGGGCAAUGGGACAACCUCCCAUGUUUGGUUCUUGUGAAGUGAUUCCAUCUCUUCUUCCAUCGCUGCCAACCAACUCUCACUAUUGUUGUUUAAAAUAGCUUCCUUGAAAGUGGCAGGCUCAUCAUUCUCCACCGAGAGUGUAUACUCAACCAAAUUUGUUUACCCAUAGUGCCUCACAAGCUCGUCUGACCCCAACUUUAAAACUUGCUUGUAAGUACGCCGUGGCCUAGAGAAAGCCAAGUUAUCUGCAAGCUGUUGUUGUUGCUAUGCCUGUACAUUCUCUUGUUGAACCGCCUCUUGUUCAAGCUCAUCACCACUCUCAUCUUGAGUGUCUGCAUGAUGCUUCUCUUGAACAUGACUAGAACCAGGUUGAUCUCUAGGUUCUAUUUCAACAACUUGAGACUUUGUAGUCUCAACAUCAUCAUCACCGGGCACUGUAGCUUUCAACGAAGCUAUCAUGGAGUUCUCAUCAAAAGUAAUAUCUCUGCUGAUUAUGAAUUUAGAAUCCUCUACACACCAUAGGCGAUAGCCUUUAACACCUGCCGCAUACCCCAAGAAUAUAGCCUUCUUGGCCUAGCAUCAAGCUUUCCCUUGUUGACGUGAUAGUAGGUUAUGCAUCCGAAUAUUCUGAGUUUCUCAUAAUCUGCAUAUUCUCCUGUCAAUACCCUGUAAGAUACAUCUCCAUCUAACCUUGAAUGUGGAGACCGGUUCACAAUGUAGCAAGCAUUUGCAACUGACUCUGCCCACCAUUCUCUGCCCAAACCAGCAUAGGAUCGCAUACACAUCGAUUUCUCUCGAAUUGUGCGAUUCAGUCUUUCUGUGACCCCAUUCUGUUGCGAUGUAUUCCUAACUGUCCAGUGUCUCGCAAUGCCUUCCUUAUCACAGAACUCCUUGAAAGCACCAUCUGUAUACUCAGUACCGUUAUCAGAUCGCAGUGUCUUCAAUUUCUUUCCUGUUCUGUUUUCAACCAUUGCUUUCCACUUCUUGAAAGUGUCGAAUACCUCAUUCUUAUGCUUCAAAAAAUAAAUCCAAGCAUAUCUAAAAUAAUCAUCAACAAAUGUGACAAAAUACCUGAAACCGCCUUUGGAAGUGACAGAAGCCGAACCCCAUACAUCCGUGUGCACAUAGUCUAGAAUACCUCUGCUUCUAUGUUUGCUUGGCUGAAACUGAACUCGGUGUGCUUUACCGUGCACGCAAUGCUCGCAAACAUCCAUGCAAGGCUUCUUCAAGUUCUUUAGCAAGCCUUUCUUGACUAGCAGAUCUAGCCCCUUUUCAGACAUAUGCCCAAGCCUCAUAUGCCAUAGCCGGGUGCACUCACAUGGGUCUCCACCACUUCCACUUGUUCCAACCGCUAAAUCUUCUGUAACUGUAGUACCCUGAAGAGCAUAGAGAUUGCCUUCACGAAUACCCUUCAUCACAAUCAAAGAACCACGAACAGCCUUCUUUACUCCAUUCCAUGUUACAAUCUUGCAACCACCGGAGUCUAAGGCACCAACAGAGAUAAGGUUCUUCCGCAAAUCAGGAACAUAUCUAACAUCCAUCAAUGUUCUAACCACUCCAUCAUACAUCUUGAUUCUUAUUGAACCGAGCCCUACCGUUUUACAGGAAUGGUUAUUACCCAUCAACACGGUUCCACCAUCAGUGCUUCUAUAGGUAGUAAACCACUUCCUAUUUGGACACAUAUGGUAAGAGCAUCCAGAAUCAAGAAUCCACUUACCGGAGAUUUCUCUAUCACAAGUGAUGGUGUAGCACUCAUCGCCUUUCCCUCCUUCCGGGGCAUAGCUAACCUCUUGCUUGACUUGCACCUUCCCGUUGUUGUUAUUCUUAUUGUUCUUCUUCCAACCCCUUUUGUUAGUACAAUUUGCCUUGAAAUGCCCAAGCUCGCCGCAUUUGAAACAAGGCCUUUCCGAAAGAGGUCUAGAACUCGAUCUAGAUUUUUCUCCCUUACCCUUUGGUCGCACAUUGCUUCUACCUCUUACAAAUAAUCCUUGAGCUUGCUCCUUGUUACCAAUGGUAGACAUGCCACUAGUUACAAUCUUUCGAAGAUCAUCCGCUAGAAGUGACGUUCUAGUGUCCUCCAUCACAAGUUUAUCACCUACAAGCAUCAAUGUUUGUACUAGGUUCUCGACUUUGGCAAUGAAAGAAGUAGUAGAAGAGCUUGAUCCUCAUCAUCUACUUUCACAUCAAUGUCCUUCAAGUCCGAUAUGCACCUAUCAAACUUGUUGACGUACUCCCGGAUUGGUGUACCUUCAUCCAUCUUGCAAGUAUACAAUUUGGACUUCAAAUAGAUCCAAUUAGUUAGAGUCUUCGUCAUGAAGUUCGUCUCCAACUUUGUCCACACCUCCGCCGCCGUUUCCUCACCAUCAACCAAGAAAGCAACAUCUCUUUCAAGGCAUAGAAUGAUAGACGCUCGUGCCUCAAGAUCUAGCUCUUUCCAAUCCUCGUCAGACAUAUCUAUAUGCUUCUUCUCCUUUCCCGCCAAUGCCUUGUACAACUUUUGAGAAAUUAACAAAUUUUUCAUUUGCAUUCUCCAAUAUGAGAAGUUAUUCUUCCCAUUGAAUUUCUCUAUCUCAUACUUCCCAAUCUUUACCGUUCUUCUAGUAGACAUGAUUUAUCUACUUGUUUAUCGGAAAUAAACCAACAAAGUACACUUGGAAAUUUUCACAAACACCUUGUGUGCACAACAAAGUUCAAGCCAACCACCAAAAAUCGGAGCUUAACCACCAUAAUUUAAGAAGAUGCUCUGAUACCAAAUUGUUGAGAAAACACCUCCCAAAGAUUGCCCAAGAUCAAACAAACUUGCAAUGUGAAAAAAAAUCCCAAACCACUUCAAAGAUAAGAAAUUGGAGAAGAAAUGAUUUUUCAAUAUAUAUGAAGAACAAUGGAUUGGAUUACUUGAACAAGCCUCAAGUUAAUCCCCAAGAAAGAAAAAUAGCUUUGAAUUUAUACCCAAGAAGAACAACCUUUUACUUGUUAAAUUCUCUCUAAGCUUUUCUCUAUUUUUCUCUCUCAAAACCGGAUGAUAAAUGAAGGGAAAAAAGCAAUAUAUAUAGAACUGAAUCGGGCACCAGUUUCGUGCAGAAACUUGGGCACCAUGGCGCCCGCAUCACUGCUCCAUCCUUUCAAUUUGGGCGCCAUAAGUGGGCGCCUGCCUCCCUGUACCUUUCUUUCUUACACCAAUGCAUUACUAGAGAAAGAGUCUAAGGGCUUCAAGCUGCUUAGUAAUAAAUACUUGUCCUUUCCCGUUAUGGCUUGAUGUCAAAAACUAUGCACAUAUAGUAACACUAUAAUAUGACUGUCCAAAAAUUCUUUAAUAUAGAAUUUAUGAUUAAAUCCAACGGACUUAGCCCUUGUUUGAGCCCAUCUUAUCAAAAAUUUAUUUUUUCAAAACUUAUUUUCAAUCACAAUUCUCCAAAAAAAUAAUGUUACAUGUAAAUUGAAAACUUUUUCUUAUUUUUUAACAACACAUUCUCCAAAAAACAUUAUUCCAAAAAUACUUUUUUUUCCCUUCCAAAUGGGGCUCUAACAAUGGCUUGAUAAAAAUUUGAAGUCAAUUUCUGUAUCUUUAGCUAAAAUUACAUUUUUCAAUAGUAAACUAAGAGUUUGUAUUAAUUUUCUUUGAAUUAGUGAUCACAUUUAAUAUACUACAAUCCUAUGAGAUCAUUCAACUUCAGACAUGCUAUCUUGAUGCCUAACGAGUAAAUACAAUUGUUGAAUGGAACAUGCAUUAGUAGACGUGUCAAAAUAAAAUGAUAUAACGCUAAAAAUAUUGAUGGCCGUCCAUGUUAGAAUUUGUAAACUUGUAUCAUAUUUGUUUUGGAAGUGUUGUACUGUGUCAAUAUCCUUGUUGCAUUCCAUCUUGCUGCAUAUUGAACAAGCGUGGCACUCUGUCCUCAGAUAAAGAGGUAUAACAAAAUAUCGAUCAAUAAUCUCGUUGAUUUCGUGAAAUUUUGAGAGAGAUCGAAAAAUAGUUUGAGCCGUUGACCCCCGGUCCACCUCUUAUUAGGGUAAAAGCCAUGAGGUAUAGACUUAUAUGGGGAGUACUAUAUAAGCACUUGAUAUGGGUACAAGUUCAUCAUCUAUUACGAAUUUUGAAGAUUGUUUAUGAUUUAUUAUGAGUUCAUUUUGCAUUUUAAUAGUGUUUUGGAUUAUGGUGAGGCUUACGAAUCCUCUCAUGAAAGAAAAAUGCUUAAGAAUCCAAUAACGCCUUUCUUAAAUAUCGAUUGUCCGAGCCCUUUUGGGGAAAUGGUUAGAAAAUAUGUCAAGAUAAUAUGGCUGAUUUUGUCUUGAAAGCUUGAUGAAAUAGAGAUGGGAACACUCUUGAUCAUGCUUUGGAAUGAUUGGCGAAACAGAAAUGAUAGUCUACGAAUGGGGUUGUUGGAAAAUAAUUAGUUGCAGUAACUUGUAGAAUAGUAAAAUGUAGAAAUAAAACUUAUCGACUGAUCGAGUUUCGUGACAGCACGAUGUUUUAAAGUGAAACUGUCCAUCAAUAACUGCUGGAACAUCUGUGGACCUAUGUAUUUGGGUAGAGUUUAGGCUGGAAAAAAUAAGUUUGGCUGGAGUAUAUUUUGUGGGUUGGGGGAUUGGGGUAGUUUAGUGGAUAAGGGGUUUGCUUGUUGAAUAGCACAUUCAAGGAUGGCAAUAGCAACAACGUAGAAUAAACCCUUUUUUUUUUUUUGGGUGUGAACAUUUCCCCAUGAAUAGUAACUUUUUUUUUCCAACCAAAAGAAAAUUGAAAAAUUGAAAAUUGCUGUUUUUACGCUAAAUCCUUUUCACUUCUACCGUUCCAACAAAUUUUGGGUAGAAGACAUGAAGAAGUUUUGGAUUGUGGAUUAAGCUAACCCAAGUUUUGGCUUUGAUAACAAUUUGAUGUAGCACCAAUAAAAAUACCCAAUGGAGAAUAAGAAAACCAAUCAGCAGGAAGAAGAAAUCAGAGGCAGAGAUGGCAAAAGAAGAAAUUAGUAGAAGGAGGAGAAUAAUGAAGAGAGGAAACUUUCAUCACAAGCCACCAAAUGAUUUUAUUCAAUCUCAAGUGUUUCAAUUUCAUGACAAACUAGAUUUAAAUAACAAAAAGAAAUCCUAAAGAGAAUGGGUUUGGGUCAAACCCUUAUACAAGCCCAAUUAUAUAAAUAAGAGUCCCAACAUAAAUAAAAGUCCAACUAGAAAACAAAUAAAAUGGAUGUCCUUAUCAGAAUGUCUUGAUUUGGUUAUAAGUUAGAUUCCUUUCUAUCGUUGAAAAAGUAGAUAUGUGUAUCUAUUUGACUUUCAUAUAUAUUGUCUAUGGAAGCUUUAAAUGCCUUGUUUCUCUUCUGGAUAUGAGUAAGACAAUAUAGAACUACAGUAAUCUUGAAGUAAUACUGUUAGUGGUAUGCAGUUCUAUUAGUAACUAUGAAUUGCAUUGAUUAUAUAACACUUACUAAAUGCCAAGUCUUUUAUGGUCAAGUUUAGAAUGUGAAUUGAAAAGGAUGAACAUGAUGAUUGAUAAAUUUUGUUACAUAUUCUUUGCUAUUUAAUUUUGAAAGAAUAAAUUUGCUGAAUAUUUUAGACCCACGUGCUGAAUUAAUUACAAUAACAAGCAAUCAGUCACUUAUGAAGUGUGUGUUUGAGCCACAUUAUUUUAAAAGAAUAAUUUUGGAAUGGUAAAUUGAUGGAGAACGCAUGAUUAAAAAAUGAGCAAAAGUUUUGGAUUUGUGUGUAAUGAUAUUUUAUUGAAGAAUGUGUGAUUGAAAUGAUAUCAAAUCACUGUUUAAGAAUGUAUUUUUUUAUAAAAAUGCGGCUCAAACAGGCCAUAAUUGUUUCUAGAUGAUUAAAAUAAUUAAUUUAAAUAAUUCUAUAUUUACACGAUCACAAUAGAUCAAAAGCAGCAAAUAAAUAUGAACAUCAUAUGAUCGCAGUGAAAAACUCCUUCAAUAGGAUUAGAAACUCUGGGUACAAUGGCUGUAAUAUCCACUAUAAACGACAUGACUUACAGUACGGUUCAAACUCGACUAAUUUUUAGUACUCUCUAGCCUUCUUUCUAUCACCAUAAUGGACCUCCUUGGGCUAGGUGCUAGAGCACCAGCUCUAGAACUCCUGGAAUCGUCUAUCUCUUAUGGAUGAUCAAGAACGACCUUGUUCUCCUCUUAUCAGAACCCUGGUCACUUUCGUAGAUCAUCAUAUCCCUAAUACAUGCUUCGGAAGUGGGUGGUUUGGUGUUUGAACAGCAGUCUUUUUGUGUUUUGAUCUGUGGCUGAGGCAAGAGAUAUUGGAAUAUGCCUAUGAUCUUCAAAGUACGUUCUCUUGACUUAAUUCAAUGCUCGACUUAUGUUUGAACAAUGUUUGGGAUAAACUAUAUGAACAAUGAUUUUGAGAUUAAAUCAAUAGAAUUAAUGGAAUGUGUUUAUGAUCUUCAACAAUGAGAUCUCGAAGAAAAAAUAAUGAUUCAACACAUCUUGGACAAAGUAGGGUAUGCAUAUUUAUAUUGGGCAGUUUUUGUGGUUGUAUAUAGGAUUGUUAAAAGUGUCUAAAAUUGCGACCUAGAGUUUCUUGAAAAAAUUAGGAUUUUGCUUAUGCUCGCCUGAUGUUGGGGAUUUCGCACCAGCGAAAGGUUGGCGUUAGGCUAGCAUCAUCAUCACUGUUUUGAGCGUUUGAGUAUGACUUGGCAUUGAGCUAACAUCAUUUUGAAAACUUUAAUUCUUUGUUACAUACUUGAGCCUAGGACUCCUAUUUGACCUAUACAACCAACCGUAUCUCUUUGACUUUAUUUGUAUCUCAAAUAACCUAGAUUUUGUCUAAGGAAUAGCCAAUUACAAUUAGGAGAAUUAAAUUUAUUCAAUCCCAUUGUGCCUAUCACACUAUAUACGUUGUUGUCAUAAAAUAUGAUGAACUUACUAAAGAACCUAAUCAGAGAACACCAGAAAUAGUGUCUCCAUAUUGUCUUAUGCUUGAUAGCGUGGACUAGGUACAGUGGAUAGAACAAAAAGAUGUCCCCAGUAAAGCACUAAAUCUUAGUGUUAGAGGCUAUCAAUGCUGUCAUCAUAUUGAAAUUCUUCAUUUUUGAAGCUUGGAGAAAUAGUUCCUCGGGCAAUAAAUUAAAGAUUAUUAUGCAAUUUCUCCAAUCAACCUUUAAAUGAGAAAGUAAAACCUCAAUUGUACAUUAUAAUUGUUGUUUGUGAAUGAAUGAAAUUAAAUCCUCAAUUGUACAUUAUAAUUGUUGUUCGUGAAUGAAUGAACCUGUUAAAAUAUUUGUUAAAUCAUCUAUCACAUGUCCAAUCUUAUCGAGUUAUACUUCAUGAAGUGAGGCACAUUUACUGAUAAUUUAGUUACAUUUGAAUUAUUUUCAUAAUUGGAGGCUAAUUGUGCCUAAAAUGAGAAUUAACCAACUAUGCGAACCAAUAAUGCUUUUUUCCUUAUCAGAAAAUGACUGCAAACCAAUAGAUGUAGAAGAAGGGUUUCAUAAAGCAUAAACAUCUAAAGGCUAUUAAUUUCUACACAAAUCAAUUAUGAAGCCAAUUUUCUAUUUUUUUUAAUGUAUUCUCUUCAUUAUUUGAGCAAGCCGACACUCUCUUUAGAGUAUAAUGUUAUUCAUAGUCGUUUACUGGAUGGUCAUCCAAAGGCAUCUUACAUAGUGAUUUAUGAUUUGAUGCAUUAAUGUGAUAGUUUUAUCUUACCUCAUAUAUCAAAUCACUAACCGUCAUAUGUACGCCAUGAAAGAUGACUACAACAGUGAGUGAUUACAAAUAACAUUAUUUCUGUCUUUAUGUCCAUACCCCGUCGGUCCCACAUUUUAACAUCGGCAUGACUAAAAAUUCAUAAUUAUAAUUCUAUCCCAGGUAUACUGAUAUUCCAAUGAAUAUUUCAUGUAAUGCUAUUUUUUUUUUCUGGCUACAUGUUGGAUUGGAUAAUCCCAAUUUGCAGAAUUUGAGCAUUUCUGUUCAAGAAUAUUCUUUAUUUAGAUGAUAUUUUGUCCCUCUGAUAAUUAGAUCAAAGUUUUUGGCCAACCAUUCAGAAGAUAGUGAAAAAAAAUACAGAGGAAGAUAUUUAAAGAAACCAAAUUAGAAAACUUGACUGGGGCGAGUGACACUAGGUCGCUCACCAAAAAAUAGAAGUUUGCAAGUUUAGCCUCAAAAAUUGAAUUAUCAAACCAUGUUGAAAAUUAUGAAUUGUUUGUCUUCUUGUUUCAAAGUAGAAAACCUUAUUUGUAGGGUUACAAAAAACUGUAAUAAAAAGACAAUUGUGUGAUUAUCACAAAGAAUAAUGUCUAUUAUUUUCAUAUCUUCGACAAAUACAUCUAGAUGGAAACUUUUUCCACGAUAAAGAACAAGGGGAGAGAGAGAGAGAAAAAAAAAAAGAUAAAUGGUACUCUAUAUCAAUAAAUAUUGUAAAUGCACCCAAUGAUUUCAGAAGCUUUGCGCUGCCAACGCUGACUAGAGUCUACCAAAAAGACACUUUGAUAUCUUGCUUUCCCGUUAAUUAUUAGAACAAAAGGAUGGCCCUCAUAAAGAAUAAAAAUCUUAGCGUGUUUGACAAUUAUUAAAAUUAAAAUCUUUUUUUUUUCUCAUAAUAAGAUAUUCUACGUGAAAACCUAAAAUUUCUUCGUAACUUAUAAUCACAUUUUCCAAAAAAAAUCACUAAUCCAAAAUUCAUUUUCCCCCAAAAAAAAAAAAAAUCAUUUUAAUGAUUGUCAAACAGGGUUUAGUGUUAGAGGCUCUGCGUAUUAAAAUUUUUCAUUUUUGAAGCUUGGAUAUAUAGUUCCUUAGGCAAUAAAUUGAUGAGUAACUAUGCAAUUUUUCCUAUUUCGUAGAAAAAUUAUAAAUUUAGUCCUCAAUUUGUUGCCUAAUUAGAAGUUGGUCAUCAACCUUAAAAAGAGGAAGUGAAUCCUCUACUUUAAACUAUAAUUGUUGUUAGUGAAUGAAGGAAUCUGUCAAAAUAUUUGAUAAAUCAUCAUGCAGCCUCCCAUGUAAAAUCUUACGACGAAGUUAGAUUUCAUAUCCCAACAUAGGUUGGAGGCAUAUUUUCAGGAUAAUUUAGUUGAGAUUUGAACUAUUUCCGCUCUUAGUCAGAAGCGAUUGAAUCUCCUUGUCCCAUCUCUUGGACCCUUACUAUUGGAACCAACAACGCACUUUCACUAUCAAGACAUGACUGCAUGCCAAUAGAGGUAGAAGAAGGGUUUCAUAAAGCAUAGAAAUCACAUGGUUAAGGGCUAUUAAUUUCCACACAAAUCAAUUAUGAAGCCACUUUGCUAUCUUUUUACUGUACUCUCUAAAUUAUUUGUUCAAGUUGGCAUUCACUUUAUGUCCGCUCAUGGCCGGUCCAAUAUUUUACCAUCAGCAUGACUAAAAAUUCAUAAUUACGACGUUUCUUGAAUUAUGUCCUAAGCAUACUAUUAUUCCAAUGAAUUUGGCAUGAUGUGAUGCUACCAUUUUCCUUUUUCUUUCUGGCUACAGUUUGGGUUGUAUGUUCCAAAUUUGAAGAAUUUGAGUUCCAGAAUUCUCUUUAUUUAUAUUGCAUUUCGUCCAUAAGAUAAUUAGAUCGAAGUUUUGGAUGAUGAGAUUUCAUUUAGAUUAACCUUCAUUUUUUAAAACUUAUUUUUCUUCAAACUCAUUUUCAAUCACACGUUUCGUGGGGCUCAUAACUUUUAUCAACUUUUUAACCAUGUUUUUCAUUAACUUUUAUCUAAAUGACUAAGUCUACUAAAAAUCUAAUUUUUAGUUUUAAACAAAACAAGGGCUUAGUAUGAUAUCAAGGAGUUGAAAGAUCUUGAAAUUGAGUGUUUUUGUAAACCAUUUGUGAAUAUUUUAACACCAAAUAUUUAACGACGUGGUAUAAUUACAAGAAAAUUCUUCCAUGGGCACAAGGAAUACCUACAUGCAAAAAGUCAAUUACCUUAAAUUUCACUUGCCAAGGUAAUAUUCAAUUGGAUCUAGAUGCAUAAAGUCAUUUAUGUUAAAUUUUACUUCUAAGGUAAGAGCACCUUCAACAAUUCUCAUUAUAUUAAAAAGCAUUUUGAGGUAGGGAGGGACUGCAUAUAACAUUAUUUUAUUAAAAAUAAAGAACAUUUCUUACAAGUCCAAUAUGCUAUUUAUAGUUCAUUAUUAUGAUUUUUUUGACAAACUAUCAUGGUUCACUGUUGUAUUAGAAUUUCAGAAGUGGACGAUGCUAUAAAGAAGCAAUAAAGUGGAUAUAAAAGUUCAUAUUAUUGUUUCUAUAAGGAUUAAGUACUUAAUCUAGUUCCAACUAAAUCUAACUUUUAUCGAAUAGAAAGACUUUCAAAUAGUUUUUUGUUAACAAAUAAAACAUAUAACUACUUUUAGCGAUGGCAAAAAAAUUCGCCCCGAAUGGGUUGGCGGGGUGGGGAUGUCCCACCCCGAAUCCACCCUGUGAAGGAAAAAAAUAAAAAUAAAAAUUUAAAAAUAAUUUAUUUCUAGACAAUUCACCCGUAAAAAACCUAUUUUGAAUUUGUAUUUUAUUCUCUAAUAAUAACAUAACUCGAAAUUAAAAAGAAAUAAAAAAAAUUCAACCAGGCAAAAAGUUUUCCCGUCUCCGCCCCUCUUAGACGGGGCGGGGUUUGGGCGAGAUGGGGCGGCGUCCCAAACCCGCCCCUGUUGCCAUCCCCAACUACUCUAGCUAAUCUAACAAAUUAAUUGGGAAGCUUUUGUGAUGCUUAAGUAAUAACGAACACUUGGAAUUCGAAUUUUCCUACAUUCAUCCAUUUAAAAAUCAAUGCAAGAUUUGGACAACACUUAUUUGUACUAAUCAAAGUUAAAACGUGUAAAUUAAAUUUGGCUUCUUCUUUGUAAGAUAUAUGUAAUUUCUGCCCCUAAGUUAUCAAAAGAUUGUAAAAAAUAAUCUCUAUGUAUUUUUUUAAAUAUGUGAAAUUAUUUUCCUUAAUAGUUGAUUAUGUGAUAAUUACGCAAGUUUCCAUUGAGAGUUAUUUGUAACCCUAUCUUCUACUUUGUAAUAGAAAUAUAAGUUUAUAACAAUUUAGCACCCGUUUGGCUCCCUUUAAAACUCUUCAAUUUAAUUAAAUUUUUUUUCUAUUUUCAACCACACAAUUUUCAAUAAAUUAAUAUUACACACAAAUCGAAACUUUUCAAUCUUUUACAAUCAUUCAUUUUUCAAAAAAACACUAUUCUCCCAUUAUAAAUUGAAAUAAUGGAGACCAAAUGAGGGCUUCUAAUAUUCUAACAUAUGCAAAAUUUCUCUCUCUAGAAAAAAGAAUGGCUACUUCACAUUCUCUCCCCUCUCUCCUCUUCUUUCACUUGGCCUUUUCGCUUAGUUUCACUUCCUUUGCGUCAACUCAAUACUCACCAUCAUCGAUUGCGUCUGACCAGAUCAAGUUCUGGUAUGAAAAUGUUCACAACCAAAUGCCAGAUUCUGUCUUUAAAAAACUAUCCCCGUUAACAAAAACGGAUCGUGAUUAUUACAAAAAUCUGAUAACCAAAAAAGAUUUCUCAGAAAAUCCUAGUUUUUGCUCACUUGCUAAACUCUCUUGUUCACCCGGAUUAAAGGAUGCUCGGCGAAAACCAACCAAUACGUACAGUAAUAAUGGUGCAUCACCUAUCAACUCCAAUGCGGCAGACAAAUUUUCUUACUUCAGGAUCUCAACCCUUACAGAAGGAAAUAAAUUCCAUCUCUCAGAUUUAGAAGAAAAAAUUCCAAAUCGAGCAUUUCUCCCUCAAGAAAUAGCAUCAAAAAUUUCUAUCAGCAGAAAAAGCAUUACAAAACUAUUUCCCAAGUCCUUUGAACUGUCAAAAAAUUCUAUGGAAAUGACACUUUCUUAUUGCAAUGCACAAGCUCUAAAGGGAGAAAUCAAGAAUUGCCCAAAAUCCCUUGAAGAAAUGAUUAGUUUCGCAAAGUUUGCCUUAGGCAAAAACAAGUUACUCGUGCUGGCUUCAGAACGCACAAGAAGAAGUGAAUUCCUGAUAAGAAAGAUCAAGAAAUUUGAUAGGCAGAAAGUAGUGGCCUGCCAUGAAGUUUAUCUUCCCUUUGCUGCCUAUUUCUGCCAUUCAACCUCUUCAACUCAAAUCUAUGCUGUAGACUUGAUUGAACCCGAGACUCGACUCCCAGUUAGCACUGUGAUUGCGAUAUGUCAUAUGGAUACCUCAGCUUGGCCUGCAAAUCAUGUGGCUUUUAAGAUUCUGAAAUUCUCCCCUGGAGAAGGCGAGGCAUGUCACUGGAUAUCGAACAUUGAUCUUGCAUGGAUUGCUGUUGACUAGACGGUAUGAAAUUGGAACGUGGCUUGUAAAUUAAGAUUGUAUAGGAGCUUGAAUUCAGUUGGUUUUUGCAAAAAAGACAUCUUUGUUAUCAUCAGAUUAUAUAAUAAAUUGAUGGGCAGAAGUGAUCUAUAAGUAUACCUUUUUCAUUGCUACUAUGCAAUGUUGAGAAAAUCAGAGUUCAAAUCCUAUAUAUUGAAGUAUGUUUUCAAAUAUAAUUAUAUAUUUACCUUCAAAUAUCGAGAUGAAGAUGCUCCACCUGCAGUAGUCUGUGAACUACACUUAUCUUGGUCACUAAAAGUAG